GGAGCCAUGGCUCAAUGGUAGAACAUCUGCUUGGCAUGCAGAAGGGUCUCAGGUUCAAUCCCAGGCAUCUCCA
rnacentral:tRNA from 1 species